AUUGAACGCUGGCGGCAGGCCUAACACAUGCAAGUCGAACGAGUGGCGGACGGGUGAGUAAUGUCUGGGAAACUGCCCGAGGGAGGGGGAUAACUACUGGAAACGGUAGCUAAUACCGCAUACCAUCGGAUGUGCCCAGAUGGGAUUAGCUGGUGGGUGAGGUAACGGCUCACCUAGGCGACGAUACCUAGCUGGUCUGAGAGGAUGAGCAGCCAAACUGGAACUGAGACACGGUCCAGACUCCUACGGGAGGCAGCAUUGGGGAAUAUUGCACAAUGGGCGCAAGCCUGAUGCAGCCAUGCCGCGUGUAUGAAGAAGGCCGUCGGUUUGUAAAGUACUUUAAGCGGGGAGGCGUUACCCGCAGAAGAAGCACCGGCUAACUCCGUGCCAGCCGCCGCGGUAAUAC
rnacentral:rRNA from 1 species